CAGCAGCCGCGGGAAUACGGAGGGGGCUAGCGUUGUUCGGAAUUACUGGGCGUAAAGCGUACGUAGGCGGCUUUGUAAGUUAGAGGUGAAAGCCCGGGGCUCAACCCCGGAAUUGCCUUUAAGACUGCAUCGCUUGAAUCGCGGAGAGGUGAGUGGAAUUCCGAGUGUAGAGGUGAAAUUCGUAGAUAUUCGGAAGAACACCAGUGGCGAAGGCGGCUCACUGGACGCGUAUUGACGCUGAGGUACGAAAGCGUGGGGAGCAAACAGGAUUAGAUACCCCGGUAGUCCCUGUCUCUUAUAC
rnacentral:rRNA from 1 species